AGAGUUUGAUCCUGGCUCAGAACGAACGCUGGCGGCGUGGAUUAGGCAUGCAAGUCGAACGAUCCUUGACAUCGUAAGAUGUCAAGGAUAGUGGCAAAAGGGCGAGUAACGCGUGGGCAACCUGCCUCCGAAACCGGGAUAACUUUGCGAAAGCGAGGCUAAUACCGGAUAAGACCACGGUCCAUAAGGACUGUGGUCAAAGGAAGCCUCUAUUUAUAAGCUACCAUUUGGAGAGGGGCCUGCGUCCUAUCAGCUAGUUGGUGAGGUAACGGCCCACCAAGGCUAUUGACGGGUAGCUGGUCUAAGAGGAUGGUCAGCCGCAUUGGGACUGAGACACUGCCCAGACUCCUACGGGAGGCUGCAGUCGAGAAUCUUUAGCAAUGCCCGAAAGGGUGACUAUGCGACGCCGCGUGAGCGAUGAAGGUCUUCGGAUUGUAAAGCUCUGUCGAGUGGGAUGAAUAUCACAUCCAUAACAUGGGUGUGGAAUGACAGUACCACUAAAGGAAGCCACGGCUAACUCCGUGCCAGCAGCCGCGGUAAUACGGAGGUGGCAAGCGUUGUUCGGAUUUAUUGGGUGUAAAGGGCAGGUAGGUGUCCUAGUAAGUUCUGGUUGAAAUCCUUCAGCUCAACUGGAGAACUGGUCAGAAAACUGCUAGGAUUGAGUGCGGAAGAGGAGAACGGAAUUCCCGGUGUAAGGGUGAAAUCUGUAGAUAUCGGGAAGAACACCAGUGGCGAAGGCGGUUCUCUGGUACGUUACUGACACUGAACUGCGAAAGCUAGGGGAGCAAACAGGAUUAGAUACCCUGGUAGUCC
rnacentral:rRNA from 1 species